rnacentral:rRNA from 1 species
AAUUGACGCUGGCGGCAGGCUUACACAUGCAAGUCUGAGCGGAGCGAAGUGCUUGCACCUUAGCUUAGCGGCGGACGGGUGAGUAAUGCUUAGGAAUCUGCCUAUUAGUGGGGGACAACGUUUCGAAAGGAACGCUAAUACCGCAUACGUCCUACGGGAGAAAGCAGGGGAUCAUUUGACCUUGUGCUAAUAGAUGAGCCUAAGUCGGAUUAGCUAGUUGGUGGGGUAAAGGCCUACCAAGGCGACGAUCUGUAGCGGGUCUGAGAGGAUGAUCCGCCACACUGGGACUGAGACACGGCCCAGACUCCUACGGGAGGCAGCAGUGGGGAAUAUUGGACAAUGGGCGCAAGCCUGAUCCAGCCAUGCCGCGUGUGUGAAGAAGGCCUUAUGGUUGUAAAGCACUUUAAGCGAGGAGGAGGAGCUUCAGGUUAAUACCCUGGAUGCUUGGACGUUACUCGCAGAAUAAGCACCGGCUAACUCUGUGCCAGCAGCCGCGGUAAUACAGAGGGUGCAAGCGUUAAUCGGAUUUACUGGGCGUAAAGCGUGCGUAGGCGGCUAAUUAAGUCAAAUGUGAAAUCCCCGAGCUUAACUUGGGAAUUGCAUUCGAUACUGGUUAG